UGUUGCUGAUUAUAAGGUAGCGGCCAAGUUUAGCAUCUGCCAAGAAGCCUCCAAGAAGACCAAGAAGAUUAAGGGUGCCCAUGAAGUUCGUGACAACGGUUGCAGAUUUAGCUGAUGAGAGAUGCAAAUCUCCAACGAGAACUCAUUUAAAGAACGUGUUUGAAUACUGACAGUAAAUUUGUCAUGCAUGGAUGAAGGUACAUUUCCUUUUCCUUCUUGCUGGGUGUGAAAGAAAUUAGAAAACACAAUUAAGAAAAGCACAACAUCACAUUGUAUUAUUGAUAAUAUUGGGUGGUCACUAAAUUAUAUCUUGAUAUGUUUGUGUUAUGUA